UGGGCGUAAAGAGCAUGUAGGCGGUGUUUUAAGUUUGGAGUGAAAAUGCGGGGCGCAACCCCGGAUGGCUCUGGAUACUGGAAGACAUGAGUGCAGGAGGGGAAAGGGGAAUUCCCAGUGUAGCGGUGAAAUGCGUAGAUAUUGGGAGGAACACCAGUGGCGAAGGCGCCUUUCUGGACUGUGUCUGACGCUGAGAUGCGAAAGCCAGGGUAGCGA
rnacentral:rRNA from 1 species